GGAUAAUUUACAACCCUUACCGAAAGCAAUUGGAGGGCAAGUCUGGUGCCAGCAGCCGCGGUAAUUCCAGCUCCAAUAGCGUAUAUUAAAGUUGUUGCAGUUAAAAAAGCUCGUAGUUGAAGUUCUGAUUGUUCGGGCCUCGCGCUUUAUAGCCGAGGAACCGACAGUCAUCCGCUUGCAAAUAUAUGUUCGCCUUUAACCGGGUGGCUAUAUGAGUAAGCAAUUUACCUUGAGAAAAACAGAGUGUUCCAGGCAGGUUUUGUCCGGAAUGCAUUAGCAUGGAAUAAUAGAAUAUGACUGAAGUCGAUUUAUUGGUUUAAGGCUUUAGUAAUGAUUAAUAGGAACAGUCGGGGGCAUUGGUACUUGACAGUCAGAGGUGAAAUUCUAGGAUUUGUCAAAGACUAACAAAUGCGAAAGCAUUUGCCAAGGAUGUUUUCAUUAAUCAAGAACGAAAGUUAGGGGAUCAAAGACGAUCAGAUACCGUCCUAGUCUUAACUAUAAACUAUACCGACUCGGAUUCAGAUGAA
rnacentral:rRNA from 1 species